AUUGAACGCUGGCGGCAUGCUUUACACAUGCAAGGUCGAACGGCAGCACGGGUGCUUGCACCUGGUGGCGAGUGGCGGACGGGUGAGUAAUGCAUCGGAACGUGUCCUGAAGUGGGGGAUAACGCAUCGAAAGAUGUGCUAAUACCGCAUAUUCUCUGAGGAGGAAAGUAGGGGAUCGAAAGACCUUAUGCUUUUGGAGCGGCCGAUGUCUGAUUAGCUAGUUGGUAGGGUAAUGGCUUACCAAGGCGACGAUCAGUAGUUGGUCUGAGAGGACGACCAGCCACACUGGGACUGAGACACGGCCCAGACUCCUACGGGAGGCAGCAGUGGGGAAUUUUGGACAAUGGGCGCAAGCCUGAUCCAGCAAUGCCGCGUGAGUGAAGAAGGCCUCGGUGUAAGACUCUUUCAGUUGUAGAGAAAAGUACGUAGACUAAUAAUACAU
rnacentral:rRNA from 1 species